ensembl:lncRNA
UGGAAGUUAGCAAAGAAUGCAAAAUUUGACCAUAGCUAAUUUAUUUCUAAUACAUAUGGAUAUAUUGUCUUAGUAUUGCAUUAGUCAUUUAGACUCAGCUCUUCAAAGACAUAAGACUUUGCCCCUUAAGUAAUUGCCAUUUAGCCCUUUAUUUAUUAAAUAUUUUAUCACGAGUUAAAUAAUUUGAAGUCUAAAGAUGAAUUUGAAAAAUUCUUUACUAAGCAUGCUGAUUUUGUGGGAUGUUUUGCCUCAUUAAGAAUUUCAAAAUAAAGGCCGUAUGUAGGGAAGAUCUAAUCAGAAACAUAGUAAGGGACCAUGAGAUCACACACUAAUCCUAUCAUAAGGAUAAAAUUGAGUCCAUUUUUUGACUGAAGUGAUGUAUUUUUUCUGGCUUAAUAUUGCUGUGUAAAUUGGUUAGUUACACAUUUCAGUGGUAGAAGAUGUGAUAUUUGAAUGCAACUUUUAUUGACUUCUUAAGGGCCCGGCGAUGUUCCCAUUGGCAGUGUUCCUACUAACUUCAGUCCGGACAAAAAUGGGCCCUUGGGUAUCUAGUUCUUUCUUGCUUUCAUUUGAUGUGUGAAAGCUCAAUUUCAGUGCUAAUAUGUUUUUUAGUAAUCUAUAACCUAUAAAAUGCAUUUAUGACAUAGUAAUGACUUAAUGACUUAAUUGCAAGUAUUAAGAAUUCAAUUAUUUUAUUGAAAACAAAAAUAAUCAGCUGUUAAAUUUAAUGAUUGUUUUCCAUAUUGCUGUCUAUAGCUUUCUGGAACAGUUCUGUCAAAUUAUUUUUACUUCAAUGAAAUUCUUAUUGGAAAAUGCAUGAGUUUUCUAGACAGAAUUAUAGAUAAAAUAUGCACAUUAAGAACAACAGGCCGGAUCCUUCUGCAGACAACUGUGCUCUGUGCACAAAAUAAAAUAAAAAAUAAACUACAAAGUAAAGGUGAGCUGUUUGAUUCCACAUAAUAUGUUGGGGGAAAAAAAAAAAAAGUGUAAGGCAAAAAACCAAAAAGUAAAAUUGAAAAUGCACAAAAAUCCAGUUUAUAUAACUAGGAUGUUUUUAAAACAUUAAUACUAUAAACUGUAUGAAGUUAUCAACACAGAGUAUUUUCAAAAUAUUUCCACAAGAACUGACUGCAUUGCACACAAUAUUUGUAUGAAGAUAAACUAAAAAUAUCCACCCUCAAAAAGACCAGACAUCACCAAAUUCAAUCACCAAAGAAAACAGCCCUUAAAACCACUCAAAGUUAUAACUCAUCAAAAUGUAAUAACUCAUUGAAAUGAUUUAACCACGAGAUUUGAAACAUAUAUUCCCUGCGCAGUGUAAAAUAAUAAGGUUUCUAAUACUGCAGCAAGGCAUAAAAGCUUAAGUCAAACAAUAAAGAUAUUCCGUCUUUAAAAAUAAAUAAAUAAAUAAAUCAGUGUGAGAAUUUUCUUUUACUUCAGAUGCAUCAAAUGCACUGAAUAGUCACUUUUUCCUUUGAUGCAAUUUUCAUCACAGCUAAGCAAGAUAUUUAUAUUUGGGAAGAAAAGAUUCAGCAGAAUAUUCAUUCUUUGGAAGCAUGUGGUUCAAGUUAUUUGAUGUUAAUAUAGGCAUUUCUUAUAAAUUUGAAACUAGAAAAAAGUACAUAUUAUUGAAAUUUUAGUUUAGUUUGAGUCAUAUCAUAAAUCAUACAUCAGAUUCUGCUUUGUAUUAUCUGAUAAAAUACAAAUGAAUGUGCAGCACUUUAUAUAACCAGACAAAAGCUCACGUAACCACUUAUAUCACUAAUAGUAGUUCUAUAUCUGAAUUUAAAAAAAAACAAAAACCAAACCAAACCAAAACAAAGCCAACAACAACAACAAAAAAAACUUUAAAAUUAUGUUACAGGAAAAUUUAACAUAAAUGUAAUUUUACUGUUGAUUCAACUAAAGAAUUUGCCAACCUGAAAAAAAAAUGCAUUUAAAUGAUUUAUAAAUUUUGAAUUAAAUUUUGCAAUGAGAAAACUGUACCACAGCUGAAGAAUAUCAGUAUUUUGAAUAGUCCUGCUUUUAAUUUUAGUAAAAAGCAACUGGAAUAACAGUUUUACUACAGUUGUGACUAAAAAAGUGAAAAUUUCACUUAAGAUUAUUUGCAAAGAGAACAAAACUGCCAUGCAAUAAUUUUGCAUUAUUAAAUGUGGUACUGUAUUUAUUAUUUUACAACUGAAGAUAUGUAUCUGGUAUCAAGAGAUUUGUAAGGACUGUUUUAAUUUUCACAGAUAUAUUUGAUAUGUGUUUAUUUAUGUACUUGAUUGCUAUUAAUUACCAUUAUUGCAGUGAAAUUAUAGCAAAGUUGAAUUCAAGGUACUUCUUAUGUGACAGUACUUCAAAUGUAAAAAGCAGAGUUUUAAGAUGUAAGAAUGUUAAUAUUCCUUAAUCUAUAUUCAACUGUUGCAAACUUGAUUUGGGCCUGAUCAUUUGUUCCUAGCAACUCCAAAUCAGCAUUUAUAUUUCUAUACUAGACAAUUCUAUGUCUUUUAUGACUGAAGUGACACUUUUGUGAUUCUGUGAAUAUGGCAUUCUAUCCAGUACUUCAUUACAGGUGUAAAAGUUUUCAAAACACAAAUGGAAAUAUUCUCACAUCACAGUAAAGACAUUGAUUAUUUAAGAAUAGAUAAAAUAAUAAUAAUAAUAAAUAAAUAAAGACAAGUAGAAGUAUAUGCAUACAAAUACAGGUAUAUAUACGUAGACAUACACUUCCAUAUAUAUAAAUACAAACACAAAUAUGUAUUUCUUGUGUUGUUGUUUCUGUUUGUUUGUUUGUUUUGCCUUGUUUGUUUGUUUUUAGAAUGUAGAUGGUAAAAGAAGAUAUUAAUCUACUUGGUAAUUAAACUGUUUUCCUUUUUAUUAGGAAACGUACUAGAUUUUCAUGUUUCAAGAAUUACUUUAAGAAUUAAUCUUAGUUAUUACUUUUAUUUAAAUGCAUUUUUUUAAAUAAAGCUAAUAUCAUGUCUAUGACAUCAAUAGUUGUCCCAUUUCCCAAAUAGGAAAAUAAACCUUUUUGUCACAUAAUAUGUAUGAAAAUAACAGAAUGUAUUAAUAAUCUGAUGCUCACAGAAUCAGCUAUAUUGUUGAAAUCGUGAAAAUAAAAUUUUGUUAUUAUAUUACAUAUUAAACUAGACAUUUAUUAUUUCAACUCUUGCCCCAGUCAGGAUGUAUUUUUGGAAGGCUGCCGAGAAGCCUGUCAUGAUAUACAAUGGUUAAUCAUGUGUACAAACAGAAAAACAAAAACAAACAUAAAAAGCAACAAAAAGCAAUAAAAAGAAAACAAAACAAAAACUUCACCUUCAUUUAGUUUGAUAUGAUCUACACUUGUCUUAAAAAAACUAUACAUAUUUUAAAUAUGAGGCUGCAAAUGUGGUCACAUGUUCCAUGGGAAAAUAAACAACAGCAGAAAACAACACAAAAUCCCCACAACAAAUGAAAACAAACAGACAAACAAACAAAAAACCCUAAAAUUUAUCAAACCCAUUUCAAGGUUUCAGUAACCAAACCCACAGCAUUAAAUAAAAUACAUUGUGACUUCAUAUGGUCUAUCAUACUCAAAGGCCACACCUGUAUAUGUGGAUGUAAACUGAACUUCUACAUGUUAUUGGGACACAACAGUUCCAAGGUCAAUUUUACAGUGCUAUGCUACAUAAAUAUUCAGUUGAUUUUUCAGCAGAUUGGAAAUAGAUGUAAUUCAUUUUGGGGGUACAUAGCAGAACAACAAACAUUUACCACAACUAUAUUCAAUUUUCUUGCUUUACAAAAUAAUUAUGUCAAGAGAAUGGUUUAUUUCAAUGAAUUAAAGCCAAACUCAUAAAAGCAAGGUAGAUGUUUUGUUACUUGCUUAAGCAAAUGGAAUCUGGUUUUACACAAAUGCAAAAUGUGGCCCAUUAGCUGUAAUUUAAUUUGAUCACCAUUUAAUUAGAAACUUCAUUAGACUUUAUUUCUUUGUAUAUUCAAUGACUUAAAUGCCUCUGGUUUCAAGGACCAAAAUGCAUCUCUUUGUGCUUCCUAACUCUGUUCAGUGUUUUAAGAAUUAAAGAAAACAUUCCAAAACAUAAUUGUGCAUAGUAUUUCUUGAGUAAUAUCUUACUACUAGGUACUCUGAAAUGUAGAUAAAGAAUAAUAAUAAUAAAAAAAAGUAAAUAUUUGUGAUAUUUAUAUUAGGAUAAUAUUUAAACAUAAAGGGAUAAACAGAAAUCCAAAAGACAGUAUUGCUUGACUGAGAGAUUUAUGUGCUCUCAUUCCAGCAGAGCACAUUACAAAGCUUCUUUAAAAGUUUGAGAAAAUAUGCAAACAUACAAGUAAUAUGGCUGCCAUGUUCAGAGUGCUGCUGAUCUGUCCACUAUUCUCACAGAACCACCUUAUUCAUCUGCUUCUUCAUUCGUUUAUCACUCUUUGGUUCAAGGUUAUGCAUUUUUCCAGAGUAAAAGGAUGUUGCAGAAAGGAGGUACAAGUUCCCUACAAUCAAAUAAUUUAUACUAACAUGAAGAUCGCUUGAAGACUGAUGGCCAUGGAAUUGCACCUGCCACUCACUCUCACCUCCCUCCGUUUUUCUUGUUUAAUGCCAGUAGUGCCAAUAACAUUCUCAAUUCUGUAUGAGAUAACCAAAGAUAUAACCCAGCUUUGUUAGAGACUUUUACAGAGACUUUUCAUUUCAGUAUGUCAGUUUUUACUCACAUGAAAGUCUGUUUAGACUCCCCAGAGACACUGGGCAAUAUGAAGAACCUGCCCUCUAAAAAUGAAGAAGUUCUUGUUUACCCUGUCAUCAAGUCAGAUCCUUCAGGAUGUGCUUUAACAGACUGCCUCUGCACUGAGUUUCUGUAAGAAAUACACAACACACUGGCCAGGUAUUUGAGCUCCAGAUAAAUAAAUGUCUAAAUAAUCUACAAAAUCAGGAUGCUGCUUUCAUCUUUUACCAAUAACCGUGAUUGCCUAUUAGUGCCUUUUCAGAUAUAUUUUCUCAUAUGUGUUUUCAGUAGGUCAGAGCCUUAUUUUUAAUAGUAUUUUAGCAUGAUUUUUGCUAGAUUACUUUUAUAAUUAUUAUGUGAUAUUAGAAAAGUACCACUACAUCUAAUAUGUAAAGGAAUGCACCUAAGAAUAGACUACAUUAUGAAAAAAAAAAAAAAAAAAGCUGCAGGAAAACAUUAGAAAAUUAAACACAGCAGUACACAGAAUCAUCCACACAAGCCUUCUACAAACACAAGUAACCAUUAAACCAUUAGUAGGCAAAUCUAAAAAAAUAAGUAAAUAAAAGAGAGUUUGGGUGCUAGAAGUAUUGGAGAGGAGAGGAGAGGCUACAGUGACAAAUCAGGAUUCUCUUUCAACUUUAAAUUUUAUCAUAGAAAUCCAAGAACUUCUGGGGGGAAAAAAAAAAACAAAACAAAAAACGCCACAUGAAUGAUUCAGUUAGCUCAAUUUUUGUACAAUUGUUUCUUUUAUAUUAAACAAAAAGGGAGGGGGGCUGGGGCAGGGGGGGGAGUAGAGGGGGAAUAUAUCUGACAGCCAGUCUAAAGCAAUCUGAUAAUGAGGCUAAAACAACAAGAAUAGUAUUCAGAAAUCUCAAAAUAGGGAUAUAUAUUUCUUUUUCUUCUGAUACUUUUACCCCUUUGGUCAGCACUAACUCAGCAGAUCAUCAUGCAGAAGGUUUCACUGAUCUUCCUAACAAAACAGAGGUCAAAUUUGUAUACAGUGUUUUUCUUCAAACAGCUUUUCUUAUGUUUUCAGAUCAGAAGCACAUCUCCUUUUGUCAAGUGACAUAUCCAUUUGCAUUUUCUUACUAUAAUUUUCCACAGAUUAUAUACAUCAUUGUAGUUACUGAGUGGGAAAGCUUACUUCCAGUAAAGCCUUCAUUCACAAGUAGCCCUUUCAGGUGUAUUUCAAGAUAGUUAUAGGCUGCAGAAUAUUUUGCACUCUGCAACUUUUUUUAAGAAUCUGUCCUUAAGAAUGCACAUUCUGAAGGUAAUUGAUGUUGUUUUUUUUUUUUCUUCCAGUAAUGAAACUGAUAAUAUAUUUUUCUACUGAAGAUAAGAAGUCAAAAUGAUUUAAAUUAACUGUUCUCAUUUUAGCAUAGACCCUAAGAAAAAAAAAUCAAAACCAGUUAUUAAAUGUUCGUAAAAAACUUGGAAGCAGCAAUACUACUGGCCUCAGAAAUUGCAGCAUCAGAAUGCAAGAAUAAACAGACCGAUGAGGAAUUUUUAUCAGCUAUUUCUUAUAAAUUCAAGCAACUCCUGUUCAUUUACUCAUUUGUGGAUGCUGCCUCUUUGUGGCAGAAUGCCACGUAAAAUAUACCUUUCACAUUAGGAACCCAACCCUACAUUUGUAUUGACUCCUGUGCAAACUCCCCUCUAUAAGUUUAAACUAAAAGGGAAAUAUAUAUAUAUAUAUAUAUAUAUAUAUAUAUAUAUACAUACACACUUGAAAGGGUACAUACUGUUUGCAGGACUGUCAUAUUCAGUCUUUAUUGAAUAAGCCUCCCUCUUACUCAGUGACAAAGCUGUGAGGCUGAAAAUUUCCUUACUUAUGCCCAUUUAACAACAGUGUGCUUCAACCAAGCCUAAAUGAAAGGAGAAUGAGGCCACCAGUUUCAGCAAUAGUUAGAAAAAUUGUAAUUCAAAAUUAGGGCUCCAGAACUGCACCUCAGGUGGUGAUACUUUUUCACUACUGACAAUGAGAAGUCUGCAGGAAAUCAAGAGCAGUACAGAGAAUAGCUGAGUUGUUUCUCUUGUGGCAAAAGAACACUCCUAGUAUCCACAUUUCAAACUGAAAUAAUACUCCACAUUCUGAACUGUCCAAGCUAAACACAGUCAUGAGGUUUUUUUUGGUGUUUUGUUUGUUUGUUUGUUUGUUUGUUUGUUUUUGCUUUUGGUCUGUGUGGAUGUCAGAGGGAAGAACACAUGGGAACAAAGCAUUUGUCUUGAAUUCCAGUUAUGUACUUUUUUUUUUUUUUUUUUUUUUGGUAGAAAGUGACAUAUUGCACAUGGAUAGGUAAAGCACAACAGAACGGAAAUCAUUUGCAAGAAAAUAUGCAUUAGUGAGCAACUCUGCAAACAAAAGCGAACAUGAUAACCUAUACAAGAAAGAGAAAACUCCACAUGAAAUAUACCCUGUUCCAUAUAUUCAAGAACAUUUUAUCAAAGAAACAAAAUGUAAGUACGAAACAAUCCUAUUCAGUAUGUUUGUGAAACACAUUUAUGUGUUGCUCUGACCCAUGUUAUGUAUGCUGGCAUUUACCGUAUAUUGUGUUUUCAUAGAAUCACAGAUUCAUAGUAUCGUAGAAUUAUCAUAGAAUCACAGAAUGGCUUGGGUUGAAAGGGACCUUAAAGAUCAUUAAGUAUCAACUCUCUUGCCUUGGGCAGGGUUGCCACCUACAAGUUCCAGUUUAAAUAACAGAUUUUUAAAAUAAAUAAAUAAAAAAAAGACACAUUAUGCCUAAAAAGUGCUAUAAGUUUCUGAUGAAGCAUAACUGCUAGUAAAGAGAAUCCAAUACAUAAACAGAUGAUUUUGGCAAGAAAUUUUAAACUUCAGAUACUCAUUAUUUUGUGUUCUUACAUUUGAAAUAUUUAUCAAGUGUUUAUUCAGAAACUAUUAAAAAAAAUCACAUGUGCUGGGAUACAUACAAGAGAAAUUUCUUGUCCCAUCUUACAGUGACACUGUGUUUAUCAAUAUCUUUGCCAUUGCCUGCUGCCCAAAGGGGUAAAGACGUUGGGGAUAGGUGUGUACAGCCUAUCAUAUGGUCUUUCAGGGUGCCAGUAAACAUGAGGAUCUGUACAAGUGCAAUUGUACUUCACUAAACAAUCAGAAACUGGCUACAACCACUGUCAAAACAUUAUAUAUUUUUAAAUAAAAAAAAAAAAAGAGAGAGAGAGAGGGGAAAAGAAAAAACAAAAACUGACAAAACAAUGUUAAAACACUUUUCCCCAUUAAAAAAGAAUUCAUUUUACAUGUCCCACACUAGUUUGCUCGCCUGAGCAGGAGGCUGCUAAAAGGUACAUUUUUAAAUAGAAAAUAUAUAUAUAUAUAUGCUUUUUGCUAUUGUGAUCAGAUUAUAUGUGUUAGAUUGUCUGUUACAAUUUGGCCAAAACUGACUUAAUCUAUAAUGAUCUAAAAGGCUCUCCUUGUACUACAUCAGCUCUGGGAAGAAAAACAGAAAAUCCCUCAAUAUAAUGAACCACUUCAGAACAAUCCAUAGACUUUGGACCAUACCCUGGAAAAACAAAAACAAAAACAUGCCAGUAAUUAUACAUGUAAGAAUAGCUCUGCAUUCUUUACCUUAAUCUUACAGUCCUUGGGGCAUUUGACUAACUUUGCUCAGUGAGUGAGUCUACAGGACUACACAGAUGAGUAAAGUUGUUUAUGUGGUUAAGUGCCUGCAGUAUGAAAGUCUAAGCUGGGACAUCUUUCACAAGUAACGAUACUCAAGUCAGUAAGAAUUUAGGUCUUAAAACAGUGAAGGAAAGAGAAAUGCUAAUGCGCAUAUAAAAAUAGGUGCUACAAUAAAAUAUUUUUUUUCAUAUUUCAUCAAUAAGUUACUUCCACUAACCAGUUAUGGAUCAUAUAUCUCUGUACUCUUUAUUUGUCCACAUCUACAGUGAUCCUUUUAAAGAUCAUAAUAUAUAUAUAUAUAUAUUUUUUUAAUUCAAAAGUCCAGAAAGCAUACAAACACAUCCUUAAAAAAGGAAACCUUGUAUUAAAGUUGGGGUGUGCUAAUCUCUCCAUAAAAGCCAUUUAGACUCACCCAUGGCUAAAAGGGGAAAAUGUGCGCUGUAUUCUCCAACCAGAAAGAAAAUAAAAUUGAAUGAUGUUGCUUGAAAAGAGAGGAAGGAAGGGAGGCAGGGAGGCAGGGAGGCAGGGAGGCAGGGAAGAGGGAAGAGGGAAGAGGGAAGAGGGAAGAGGGAAGAGGGAAGGGAAGGGAAGGGAAGGGAAGGGAAGGGAAGGGAAGGGAAG